CCUACGGGUGGCAGCAGUGAGGAAUAUUGGUCAAUGGACGAGAGUCUGAACCAGCCAAGUAGCGUGAAGGAUGACUGCCCUAUGGGUUGUAAACUUCUUUUAUAAAGGAAUAAAACGAGGCACGUGUGCCUUUUUGCAUGUACUUUAUGAAUAAGGAUCGGCUAACUCCGUGCCAGAAGCCGCGGUAAUACGGAGGAUCCGAGCGUUAUCCGGAUUUAUUGGGUUUAAAGGGAGCGUAGAUUGGUUGUUAAGUCAGUUGUGAAAGUUUGCGGCUCAACAGUAAAAUUGCAAUUGAUACUGGCAGUCGUGAGUACAGUUGAGGUAGGCGGAAUUCGUGGUGUAGCGGUGAAAUGCUUAGAGAUCACGAAGAACCCCGAUUGCGAAGGCAGCUUACUAAACUGUGACUGACAUUGAUGCUCGAAAGUGUGGGUAUCAAACAGGAUUAGAUACCCCUGUAGUC
rnacentral:rRNA from 1 species